rnacentral:rRNA from 1 species
GGCGGACGGGUGAGUAUCGCGUAGGUAUCUGUCCUUGGGUGGGGGAUAACCGAGGGAAACUUCGGCUAACACCGCAUGACACCUUCGGGUCAAAGGCGCCAGUGACAUGGUGGUCGCCUGGGGAGGAGCCUGCGUCCGAUUAGCUAGUUGGUGGGGUAAAGGCCUACCAAGGCUGCGAUCGGUAGCUGGUCUGAGAGGAUGAUCAGCCACACUUGGACUGAGACACGGCCCAG